rnacentral:lncRNA from 1 species
UGGUAAGGUGAAAUUGUACAGUAAAUUAGACCCAUCGAUACAUAAAGCACACAUGAAGAAUUGAAUAGUGAAUGGUGAAAUUAAGUGCUUACAAUGCUAAGAUUAGGUCUAGAAGCCAUGGUAGAAGAUCGCCUGGAGGAAUUCAAAUGAAUUCGAGCACAAAUAAGUCUCGUACACACAAACACUAUGAACAUAGUACUCACUGUGAAUCCAAUCACCGUCAUCACCAAAUUUAUCCCCGAAGAUAUCAUCUUUCCUUACUUUAUCUUGCCCACUUUAUGAAAUUCCCAAUUCGGGUACUUUCUCUUUUUCAGUCUCCCAAGAUUAACUGAAAUUCUCAGAAAAUUUGAAAGAACUAAAGAUUCCAAGCUAAACCCUCUCAUACAAGUAGUUGAUCAAAAUGACGCAACUAAUCAUUACUGCUGAAACUCUCCCUCUUUAUUUCUUGGAUUUUUUGUUUUUUAAUUUUUUUUAAAAUUUUCUGUUCCUCAGUUAUCUAUUACAGAACUCUCGCUAUCUUUAGAUAUGAUAUAUCUAAACAAAAAAGGUUAAUUAUGGUGGUGAAAGUGGAGCUGGAAUUGGAAUUGAAAUUGGAGGAGCCCAUUUCAAUGAAAAGAGAAGUGUCAUUAAGAAGGGAUUAGUGUAAUUAAGAAGAUUCUAGCAGGGAAGUGACAGAGAGA